rfam:Sporolactobacillus inulinus CASD NODE_171, whole genome shotgun sequence.
AUGAGCCGUGUGCGUAAAUAGCGCACGCACGGUUCUGCGAGGGUGCAGAGGAUGUGAAUCACUGUCCUACUCGAC